GGGGAAUUUUGGACAAUGGGCGCAAGCCUGAUCCAGCCAUGCCGCGUGCAGGAUGAAGGCCUUCGGGUUGUAAACUGCUUUUGUACGGAACGGAAAGGUGCCUUCUAAUAAAGGGCGCUCAUGACGGUACCGUAAGAAUAAGCACCGGCUAACUACGUGCCAGCAGCCGCGGUAAUACGUAGGGUGCGAGCGUUAAUCGGAAUUACUGGGCGUAAAGCGUGCGCAGGCGGUUUUGUAAGACAGAGGUGAAAUCCCCGGGCGCAACCUUGAACCUGCCCUUGUGACUGCAAGGCUGGAGUGCGGCACAGGUGGAUGGAAUUCCGCGUGUAGCAGUGAAAUGCGUAGAUAUGCGGAGGAACACCUAUGGCGAAGGCAAUCCCCUGGGCCUGCACUGACGCUCAUGCACGAAAGCGUGGGGAGC
rnacentral:rRNA from 1 species